GCGACCCCAGGUCAGGCGGGACUACCCGUUGAGUU
rnacentral:rRNA from 1 species